rnacentral:lncRNA from 1 species
UUGCCUAAUGGGUGUUAGUUUUCACUCUCCUUUUCAGGUAUACCCUUGCUGAGAGGUGGCAGAGCAGCCUCAGGACAUCACCAUGAUGGAGGAUCACGCGCCUGGCCAGGAAAAACAUUUCUCAUCAGGCUAUCCCCUUCAGAUACCAGUCGAUGAUGGAUCGGAUGAGCCUGUUUCUGAAACAUCUGACGCUAAGAGCACCCCAACUACGGAAGAUGCCACAGCACCUUUAGUGGAGGAAGGAGACCACGAGGAUCAGGGUGGUGCGGAGCAGCAUGG